CUUAAGAUUCUUGCUUCACAUUUUAACACGCAAACUGUGACAAUGCAUUUAUGUGCUUUUCUUCUGCUGAGCUCGGCUUUGGCUCUUCAUCAUCCAUCAGUCACUUUUGGUCAAAUUAACAUUUUAGACAAAUGGAAGAGCAUUCCAGAUAUAAACAAAG